UGAUGAUUCACUAAAAAGACUCACAGAACUUAGUGAAAGCUAAUGUCACACCUACUGUAGAGGAGUGAAAGUACAAAUUGUUUCUCACAAGGAAUGAGUGCCACUCUUCAGUUUUUAAGCAGAGAAGGAACAUGCUGGAUCUGUAUUUUGGACAGAGAGUCCUUUCUAUGGAGGAGACAUUAUGCUAGAAUUUUCACACAGAUUAUUUUAUUUAACUCCAAGAACUACUCCAUGAAAUAGGCAUGAUCAUCACCUUCAUUGUUUACAGAGAUUCUGGCUUCCCCACUGUAAGAACUGAAGAUACUGCAGCUGAAUUGAUGUCAUGAAAAGGCCUUCAUUCAAUUAGAGUGGGUAUCUUGUGUGGUCUCUAUUUAAUAACUUCCACUUUUGUACAUUUCAAUUUCUGUACGUGCUCUGAGAUAAACAGCCAGAGUCUUUAAGCAAGAGAGACAACAACUAAAAACAACAAUGAAAACUUAGUUACAGCUACAGCGAUAUAUAGGUCUUUAUAAAAGUAGCAGUUCCAUUGUGAAGGCGGUGAUAAAUGUAAAACCAUAAAUUCUGGAAAUAGUCGUAGUAAAUAGAUAGAAACAAGAGUGGUUCACAGAUAAGGAUAUGAAGCAUACUCACUGUAUUUUACCAAAAAUGAUGUUCCUAUAUUUUGUAGACCAGAGAGCCUUUUUAAAGGAAACAAAUUCAUAACCAAAUACCAUCUAGAAUUACCUCUAUUAAUAAAUUGUCAAUGUAAUAUUUUAAUUAAAACAUAUAUCACGUAUUUUCUUCUCUGUAUAAUUUUAUAAAAUAUCUAUGAUAAGAAAGAAAAUAAUGGAAUGCAUUUUCUUUAACAUAUUAUCCUACAUUAUACUCUUUCUAAUCUCUAGAGAC
rnacentral:lncRNA from 1 species